rnacentral:rRNA from 1 species
AUGUCAGAAAUCGUCAACAACCUCCUCGCCAAACUCGCCGACCUCAUGGGCGACGAGUUCCAGAAGCUCAAAGGGGUGGAGCAUCAUGUGCAGUUCCUCGAGGAGGAGCUCAGCACCAUGAAAGCUUUCCUGGAGGAGCUGGCGCUGAGGGAUGAACUAGAUCCCUUGACCAAGGACUGGCGGGACCAUGUCAGGGACAUGACCUACGACAUGGAAGAUUGCUUUGAUGACUUGCUUCUCAAUCUUGGAAGUACCAACGCCAACGCAGGUUUUAUCGAGAAGACCACUGAACUUGUCAAGACCCUGUGGGCGCGUUAUCAAUUUGCAAGCCAGAUUCAGGAGCUCAAGGAUCGUGCCAUAGAGGCGAAUCAUCGAUGCAAAAGGUACAAGCAUGAUGUUAGCAGUAGCUCUAGUUCUGACCUUGUGGCAGUCGAUUCUCGGGUGGCGGCACUCUACAGAGAGGCGGCCAGACUUGUGGGUAUUGAUGGCCCAAGGGAAGAGCUUGUCGGGUGGCUGGUGGAUAGUGAGCAAGCACUCAAGGUGGUGUCUAUUGUGGGAUCCGGCGGUCUUGGUAAAACUACACUUGCCAAGCAGGUGUUUGACAAGAUCAGCGAACAAUUCAACUGUAAGGCAUUUGUGUCGGUUUCCCAAACACCUGACAUGGCAGGGCUCUUGAUUGGGUUAAAAUUGAAGCUCAAGGGAACAGAGACUUGUCGCACCCGCGAGGUGGCAGACAUCAUCAGGGAGCUUCAAGAGCAUCUCACAGACAAGAGGUACUUUAUUGUAGUUGAUGACUUGUGGGAUCGACAAACAUGGGAUAUCAUUAGUUGUGCUUUUCCAGAUAGUGGCAAUGGGAGUAGAAUAAUAGUAACUACACGAGUGAAAGAUGUGGCUCGCCUGGCAUGUCGCAAUCACCAGCAGUGCUUUUACAAAAUGAAGUUUCUCAGCGACCAAGACUCAAAAAGGUUAUUCUUUAGUAGAGUGUUUGGCCCUGAGUAUGUCGAUUCAUCCCAAUAUGAAGAAGUUUCAACUGAAAUUUUGAAGAGGUGUGGUGGACUGCCACUUGCUAUUAUUACAAUAGCCGGCAUAUUAGUUAGUCGCCCAGGAAUAUUAAGGCAGGAUUGGGAGAGCAUAAGGAGUUACUUGGGAGUUCAAUCUGCCACAGACCUCACCAUGGAAGGAAUGAGGCGUAUAUUAAACCUUAGCUACAUGCAUCUUCCUGCUCAUCUUCGGGUAUGUUGCUUACGUCUUGGUAUGCAUCCAGAGGACCACAAGAUCAUGAGGGAUGAUCUUGUUCGACAAUGGAUAGCUGAAAGCCUUGUGCGUGGCUUACCUGGGCAAGAUUUGGAGGAUGUUGCAAGGAGUUAUUUCAAUGAACUUAUCAAUAGAAGCUUGAUUCAGCCUGAACGGACAGUCGCUGGGGAUGUGGUUUCUUGCAGAGUGCAUGAUAUGAUUCGUGAUGUUAUUAUCAGCAAAUGUGAAGAGGAAAAUUUCAUGAGUGUGGUAUACAAUUCUGAAGACAUGGCAAGACUGCAUAAAUGUAAGCUCAAGGUCCGCCGAUUGUUCCUGAGCCGGAGUUCUGAUGAUGCUAUAUCAAGGACCACUGCUACUAGUCUGUUGAAGGUUAGAUCGAUUGUAUCAUUCGGAGAGUCCAAGUAUUUGUUAUCCAGAUAUCUCCGGGUGCUGUUCAUUGAAAACUGGGGGAUCACUAUCGAUCUCAGUGAGAUCAACCGAUUGUUUCACCUGAGGUAUUUGAAAGUUAGAGCACAAGACAUAAAACUUCCGUCUGAAUUGAAAGGACUUGUGCAUUUGGAGACACUGGAACUGCUUUCUGAUUCAAUCCCGUCAGAUGUAGUUCAGUUGCCCCGUUUGUCCCACCUGGCUGCUCUAUGUCACAGGCUGCCUAGCGGGAUCGGGAACUUGAAAUUAUUGCGGACUCUGUAUGGGUUUAAGUUGACAGGUUGCUCCUUGGAGGAUAUCAAGGGCCUGGGCGAGCUAACCAAUUUGCGGGAGCUCUUUCUCGAAAUAGAAGAUAUAAGUGAAAUUGACGAUGCUUUGGUCUCCUCCAUUGAAAAGCUUCGUAACCUGAGAUAUCUCACUUUUUUUAAUUGGGGGCGUGCUGACAAUGACAGGCUGUUAUCAUUAUCAAAUCCUCCCCUUCAUAUCGAGACACUACUACUGAUGCCUCUCUUGAUCUCUAGAAUUCCAAAGUGGAUUGGUGAUCUGCAUUAUCUCCGUCACCUGGAUCUGCGUGUUAGGGAGACAUCGACUGAUGACAUUCGUCUUCUUGGACAGCUGCGCUCCCUCAUGGAAUUCAAAUUGGGUUUGUUGCAUUUCGCUGCAAAUGGAGUUAUUAUAAUCCAAACAGGAUUAUUUCCAGCUCUGGAGUACUUUUGUGUAGGCCUUUAUGAGGAAGAUCAUGAGUUACACUCUGCAGACGACGAUGUUAUGACACACCUGUGCUUCGAGGUCGGGACAAUGCCCAAGCUACAAAAGCUCGAGCUACAGUUACACGAGAGGCACUGGGGCGGCGCUACCCCAGUCGGCAUGGAGCACCUGUUGGCUCUCAAGGAAAUUGAGGUAGCAUUCCGCUACCGCAGAGGCACUGAUAGGAAUGAAGUGAAGUGUCGUGCUGAGUCUGCGCUCAGGAACGCCUUGCAAGAGCACCCAAACCGUCCUUCCGUUCGCAUCAAUUAG